UUCGACCAUAUCAAGUUGAAGAGCCGGUUCUCGUGCGAUCCCCGUAGUUAAGCGCCGUUGAAGCUCGUCAGUACUUAAAUGGGAAACCGCUUCGCAAUUCAAAGUGCUGUAA